UUUUUUUUUCCGUUGCAGAUGGGGGUAAGCACUCUAUCACUGAGGAAUAGACUCAACCCUUUAUAUUUUUGAGACAGGAUCUUGCUAAGUUGCCCAAGCUGACCUUGAACUUGCAAUCUUCCUGGUUCAGUCUCCCCAAUAGUUUGAUUUUAGGCAUGCAUCAUCACAGUUCAUCAAGAUGGGAAUUCUUGAAGAGUUGGAGCCACUGUGCUGUCAUGCAUUUCUGUGAGACUGGGGCUGCCCAAUCUCUCUAGAGAGAGAAAAUAAAAAUAUUUCCAACUCUUUCCUUGCUUCCCUGAGCUAACUCUUCCUUAUUUCCAAGAAUAUUCUCUUGAGGUUUUAGGUGCUCAUACAACAGUACAGCACAUUUGAGUAGGGGCCACCUGAGAGCAGGACCAGGAAAGAGAAAACAGACAAUAGAAAGAAAUAAUUGAACAAACAGGCUUUUGAUGUAAAAUGUCAACGACUUCAGAAACAGACAACCAGACUGCUUCUGCUACCUGACUGACUGACCUGGUUCUAUUUGCUUAGUAUUCAGGAACAAACUACUCAUUCUUGCUGCAUUUCAGAUUUGUUUGGAAUAUGGAAUGAUGUAAAAUGAAAUUAGGCAUGUGAAGAAAAAGUUCAAAUAAUCAGAGUAUCUUCUGUAGAACAACAUUUAUUUUCAAAAACAGGAUGGAAAACAUGGGAAUACAGAACUUUCUAGAAAAGCUACAAAAAUUAAAACUGUCAAAUAGCGCUGAAGCAUUAAGAAAAUUUUGUGGACCUCUAACAUUAUUUCAGGAAUAUGAACUAAGCUUCAUUGGGACUUCUAAAGCACUUAACUUUAUUUUCCCUGAGCUGAGAAAUGGGAAUUAGAGAACAUAUAAGUUUUCCAAUCUAGAGAUUUGGAAAAAGUUACUGUUGACAAUAAAAUACUAAAUAAAAUAAAAUGGAAUUUUCUUUGAUCUUUGUUAACUCAUGUCAGCAUUCAACUGUCUGACACCAGAAGGCAAGAACAAUGGUCACAGAUACUUUUCCUGAUUUAUUUUUCUCAACUUCAAAAAUUAGCAUUUUCAAAGCCACUUCAAAAUAUACUAGGGCAGAUUAGGACAUUAAAGAAAAGGAAAAUAAUUUUUCCUAGGCAAAUACUAUUGGCAACCUAGUUACAGAUCUAGGAUAAAAACAAAACAAAAACCUUAGUAUUCAGCAUCUUAUUACCUUACAACCACCAAUGAAACACACCACCAGUGUUUCGGGUACAAGCCAAAAACUCCCAUUGAAAAUAUAAAGCACUUUGUUAUUCCAUAUUGGUUCGUUGAUUAAUCAAGUUUUUCUACUUGUAAUUUCUAGGUCAAGAACACAACAUGGAAGGGAUAAUCGAGAAGCUGAAGAAAAAUCCACACACUGAAUGAAAUAAAAUGUGAAACUGCUUUCAUGUAAUUCGAUAAUUUGUUUUCAAAAGAUCUCAUUUUUAAAGAAAAUUACCUCUUUUAUCCUAAUUGUUAAUUUCCAAGUCACUCACUUGGACAUCAGAGUUAAAGUAGCACACAACUUCACUAUUUUAUCAGAAUGAAACCCAGGGAAAAACCAUAGGCUGUGGUUGUGGGUUCAUUUGUAGAUACAUGUGUUUUAAUGCACUAAUAUAAGCCAAAAGCAUAUAAUUCUUUGUAAAUGGAGGUUUAUAUUUCUAGGCUUCAAUUAGAUACUUAACUAUAUAAUCUUCAGAACAGAUUUUCUAGUUCUAAAUCCUAAUUCCAAAACAACCUCAAAAGGCUAUUUAAAAAAAAAAUCUGUUUGACCAAUUUAUCAAAUAUAAGGCAUUUAAAUUAACUAGCUGGAAGCUAGACACAUAAAGUGAAUCAGAAGCCCUUUUCCAAUGGAAAUAUUCUAUGCCACAUAUUUUAUUUUUUUUAUUUUUAGUUAUUGGCGGACACAACAUCUUUGUUUGUAUGUGGUGCUGAGGAUCGAACCCGGGCCGCACGCAUACCAUGCGAGCGCGCUACCACUUGAGCCACAUCCCCAGCCCCUAUGCCACAUAUUUUGUUGCUGGAAAUAAAUGAAAUUGAUUCACUUCUGUAUUUUUCC
rnacentral:lncRNA from 1 species